UGAUGACACAGGAAAUAUUCUACAAUCUUCACCGUGGUUACCGUUGAAUAGGGAUUCUCACAUAGCAAUUGCUGUACAGUGUAAUGCCAGCAUGUAUGUUUUUCUAAGCAAGCGACAGUGUGUCAAGGCAGAAGCUGUGCAUCUGGACAGAAUGAGAGUGGUUGUUUUCCAAUGGCUGUAAGCAUGAAAUCACCUGGCCUUGUGCGUAAGACAUCUAUGAAUCGAUCAACCAGAUGUAUACCUCUAAAGAACUGUGAUGACACUGAGGAAAUAUUCUACAAUCUUCACCGUGGUUACCGUUGAAUAGGGAUUCUCACAUAGCAAUUGCUGUACAGUGUAAUGCCAGCAUGUAUGUUUUUCUAAGCAAGCGACAGUGUGUCAAGGCAGAAGCUGUGCAUCUGGACAGGAUGAGAGUGGUUGUUUUCCAAUGGCUGUAAGCAUGAAAUCACCUGGCCUUGUGCGUAAGACAUCUAUGAAUCGAUCAACCAGAUGUAUACCUCUAAAGAACUGUGAUGACACUGAGGAAAUAUUCUACAAUCUUCACCGUGGUUACCGUUGAAUAGGGAUUCUCACAUAGCAAUUGCUGUACAGUGUAAUGCCAGCAUGUAUGUUUUUCUAAGCAAGCGACAGUGUGUCAAGGCAGAAGCUGUGCAUCUGGACAGGUCUGUCUCAUAGUCUUUGAUAAAUUCUUUGAUCCUUUCGACUGCCAAUCAAGACUACCAACGGUACCAUUGAAGGAUUCUGGUGACAAUAUAUCCGCAAAAUGGAGUCGUUUGGGAGCAACAGAUCUACAUAUCUGGGCCAGCGGUUUGCUAGACGACUGUUGUUCCCGUGUUGAGAGAAGUGGAAUUAAGGAUUUUCAAGAUUCGU
rnacentral:misc_RNA from 1 species